rnacentral:misc_RNA from 1 species
UGGUUCUGGCAUCGAUGAAGAACGCAGCGAAAUGCGAUAAGUAAUGUGAAUUGCAGAAUUCAGUGAAUCAUCGAAUCUUUGAACGCACAUUGCGCCCUCUGGUAUUCCGGGGGGCAUGCCUGUUCGAGCGUCAUUACAACCCUCAAGCUCUGCUUGGUAUUGGGCGUCACCACCUGGUGCGCCCCAAAAUCAGUGGCGGUGCCGUCUGGCUUCAAGCGUAGUAAUUUCUCUCGCUUUGGAGUCCGGGCGCGUGCUCGCCAGAACCCCCAAUUUAUCAAGGUUGACCUCGGAUCAGGUAGGGAUACCCGCUGA